rnacentral:lncRNA from 1 species
UUGUUCCUCUCAUGACUUCCACUUGAAGAACUGUUCUGAGGACCUGGUCCAUUUCUGUUGUUAUAAGAACAUGUUCCUCGUCCAGCAGGCUUAAAGCCUCUUCCUCUAGAAUUGAAAUUAUUGUUUCCUCUUCUUUGAGAGUAGUUUCCUCUUCCCCUGCCUCUUUGGGCAGGGAAUGCCAUGUUAUGAUUUUGUUGAGGCACUUCUUCUU